rnacentral:rRNA from 1 species
AACGAACGCUGGCGGCAGGCUUAACACAUGCAAGUCGAGCGCCCCGCAAGGGGAGCGGCAGACGGGUGAGUAACGCGUGGGAAUCUACCCAUCUCUACGGAAUAACGCAUGGAAACGUGUGCUAAUACCGUAUACGUCCUUCGGGAGAAAGAUUUAUCGGAGAUGGAUGAGCACGCGUUGGAUUAGCUAGUUGGUGGGGUAAAGUCCUACCAAGGCGACGUUCCAUAGCUGGUCUGAGAGGAUGAUCAGCCACACUGGGACUGAGACACGGCCCAGAUUCCUAGGGGAGGCAGAAGUGGGGAAUAUUGGACAAUGGGCGCAAGCCUGAUCCAGCCAUGCCGCGUGAGUGAUGAAGGCCCUAGGGUUGUAAAGCUCUUUCACCGGUGAAGAUAAUGACGGUAACCGGAGAAGAAGCCCCGGCUAACUUCGUGCCAGCCGCCGCGGUAAUAC